rnacentral:lncRNA from 1 species
AUCUCUCUCUCUCUCUCUCUCUCUCUCUUCUCUACUUUUGCGCUCAAUUUUUUCUUCUUUUCCCCCCAUUUUAACGUAUAUCAUAGUCUUAGACAGCGAUUGAUUAGAGGAUAGGAAUAGAAAUAAGUCCUUAUCCUCUUUAUACCUAAACCUUAAUUUUUUAUUUAAAAAUAUUAAUUUUCGAUUAUCUCCAUCAACAAUUUUAUUUUUUAUAUAAAACUAUCUAAAAUUGUUCUUGUCCCCGGUAACAACCCAAUUUUCAUUCAAACAUUAUUUUUUUUAUCCUUAUAUUUAUACCUAUCCCUGUAAUAGCUAGUUCUUGCUUAUACCCGAACCAAACGGUAUCUUAGGGUGUACUCGGCUUGAUUCA